AAAAAGACAAACUCUGGUUUUCGUGUCCAAUAUUUGAUCGUCCGUCUUAUUUGAAAAAAUUAUAAAAAAAUUAAAAAGACAAGUCGCGCAUAAAAUAUUAAUCAUGUUUUAUCAUCUAACAACAAUGAAAAUACAAAUUAUAAAAAAAUUUCAUAUAAAACGGACAGUUAAAGUUAGACACGGAAACUCAUAGUUUGUCUUUUU
rnacentral:pre_miRNA from 1 species